GGGGAUAUAGCUCAGCAGCAGAGUGCUUGCCUAGCAUGGGCAAGGCCCUGGGUUCAAAUCCCAGUACCACAA
rnacentral:tRNA from 1 species